rnacentral:rRNA from 1 species
GUGCCAGCAGCCGCGGUAAUACGGAGGAUCCGAGCGUUAUCCGGAUUUAUUGGGUUUAAAGGGUGCGCAGGCGGCCUUGCAAGUCAGCGGUCAAAUCGUGGAGCUCAACUCCAUUCCGCCGUUGAUACUGCCGGGCUUGAUUGCGGUUGAGGUUGGCGGAAUUCGUCGUGUAGCGGUGAAAUGCAUAGAUAUGACGAAGAACCCCGAUUGCGUAGGCAGCAGACCAAGCCGUAAAUGACGCUCAUGCACGAAAGUGCGGGGAUCGAACAGGAUUAGAUACCCUGGUAGUCCGCACAGUAAACGAUGAAUACUUGCUUUUGGCGAUACAUUGUCAGAGGCAAAGCGAAAGCGAUAAGUAUUCCACCUGGGGAGUACGCCGGCAACGGUGAAACUUAAAUGAAUUGACGG